AAACGAUGAGGUAGUCUUUAGUGAGCCCGAAAUUUCAUAAUGUUUAGCAACCUACGACAAGCGAGUACAACUACAAAGGUCAAUGUUUAAAUAGGUGGCGCAAAGAGUUGCCCUCAAUGUAUGGAGGAAAUAUGGAAGAUUUUGACGAAAUAUUCGAAGAAAGGGAAGAAGAAGAGCGCUUUAUAGAUGAAUUUCCCACUAGCAUGAUUGCCGACCCUGUUGUUAUUAGAGGUGCUGGAAACAUGACAAUGUUUGGCUUAAGUAAUCGUUUUGAUACUGAAUUUCCAUCACCUUUGUCAGCCAAGGUUGCUCCAGAAGAAUACAAAGCCACGAUAUCCAGGUUAAACAGUGUAUUGAAAAAAACCUUACCGGUUAAUGUCAAGUGGUUAUUGUGUGGUUGUGUGUUUUGCUGUUGUACAUUUGGAUGUUCACUUUGGCCUGUGAUAUGCCUUAGCAAAAGAACAAGACAUUCAAUAGAAAAAGUAUUGGACUGGGAAAAUAGUCACCUUUAUCACAAGUUUUCACAUUUCACUUCCAUAAUCUCUAGAACCUUCUAAAUGAACAUCAAAAGAUUUUUUAAGCUUGGUCUACACUGGAGAUUAGGAAAACAGAGAGGAGAUUCAACUACUAUGAUGGAAUAUGUUCUAUUAAUAGAGUUCAUUUCAAAGAUUCCAAUUCAUCGGCCAGAUUAGUUGAUAGACUAGUAGUCCAACAUG
rnacentral:misc_RNA from 1 species